rnacentral:rRNA from 1 species
GGAUCAGUUCGCUGGUCAUGCCUCUGGUAUGUACUGGUGUUUCUGAUUCCUCCCUUCUGACGAACUGUCAUGUCAUUAAUUUGGUGUGGCGGGGAAUCAGGACUGUUACUUUGAAAAAAUUAGAGUGUUUAAAGCAGGCUCGCGCUUGAAUACAUUAGCAUGGAAUAAUGAAAUAGGACGAGCGAUCCUAUUUUGUUGGUUUCUAGGAUUGACGUA